AACGCACGAGACCUGCGGACCUGCGGAAGGAUCAUUACCGAGUUCGGUGCCCUCUGGGUGCCUUCUCCCACCAUCUGUGUACCCAUUCUUGUUGCUUUGGCGGGGCGUGGUUCGCCCCUCCGGCUUCGGCUGGAGUGUCCCCGCCAGAGGUUUUCAAACUCGAUUAAUUUGAAGUCUGAGUAAAACUUAAAAAAUUAAAACUUUUAGCAAUGGAUCUCU
rnacentral:misc_RNA from 1 species